AGUGAACGCUGGCGGUAGGCCUAACACAUGCAAGUCGAACGGCAGCACAGUAAGAGCUGGCACUUACGGGUGGCGAGUGGCGGACGGGUGAGGAAUACAUCGGAAUCUACUUUUUCGUGGGGGAUAACGUAGGGAAACUUACGCUAAUACCCCAUACGACCUACGGGUGAAAGCAGAGAAUCUUCGGACCUUGCGCGAUUGAAUGAGCCGAUGUCGGAUUAGAUAGUUGGCGGGGUCAAGGCCCACCAAGGCGACGAUCCGUAUCUGGUCUGAGAGGAUGAUCAGCCACACUGGAACAGAGAAACGGUCCAGACUCCUACGGGGGGCAGCAGUGGGGAAUCUUGCGCAAUGGGCGCAAGCCUGAUACAGCCAUACCGCGUGAGUGAAGAAGGCCUUCGGGUUGUAAAGCGCUUUUGUUGGGAAAGAAAAAAAGCAGGUUAAUACCCCGAUGUUCUGACGGUACCCAAAGAAUAAGCACCGGCUAACUUCGUG
rnacentral:rRNA from 1 species